CGUCAGUUAAUCCAAGGUAAAUAGGAAAAGCGAAAAUAAUGUGGAAUGCGCGCGAAUUAUUAUAAUGUGGUGUCAGCGAUGGACACUAUAUUAAGGCCACGUACACGUCAUUACACACGGGAAUUUUUGCUGUAACUUAAAACGCAAUAUCUGGCACGGACUGAUUUUAUGUAAACCCUAUUCACUGUAAAACUGAGAACGUGUUCUUCAGUCUAUUUUGCCAAGCUUUUGACUCACGUAACAUGCCACAGAAGCAUGAAAUAGAUGAACGAGAGUGAGAAGCAGUCCAUGCUAGCUGAUUUUCUGGUAAUGCUAUUUAACAUAACAUAUCGCCCCAAGCCAGUUCGCAGAAUGUGGCGAGUUGCACGUCUAAAUGUCCAUUACCAUUUAGUUAUAUCGAGCGAGAUGCCAAAAAUGAAAAUUAGUAUGGAAAUUGGAAACAGUAAGGAAACAGGGAUGUAGUUUAACUGUAGAACUUGACAAAAUUAAGUGCGGCAUGUUAUUUCAACCUCAUUCUAUAGCGAAGUAUCUUUUAUUGUUUCGAGUGCAACAACAAUUUCCUCUCAUCUAUAUAAUCUUUCCUGCUUUUAAAGUGUUCUGUUUUUUCAUCUGUUUCCGUAUGAAUCUAGACUGUAGUCACGCGUCCCAAAUCGGCCUGUCUUGUGCACGUUAAUUGCAUAAUAACCAUGAUCUAUGAUCAGUAUGAUGGCUGAUUGAAGGUCAGACUUGGAAAUAAUUUCAGCCUUUCUUUAUUGGAUCCUACGCAAGAGGCAAAUAAUUUCUUUGUAAACACGGUGGUUAGAUUACAUUUAACAGAACUUACGGAUAUCCCAUCAUAUAUACAGUUGCUAGGCAAAACCCGUUGAAUUGAUCGGAAUUACAGUAAUUAAACGGAAUAUUUUACCUUUAGCUUUCGGCCAGGCCAUAUGCAUAUAAAUUGUAUGCGUAUUACUAAUGUUAGCAUAUCAAAUUAAGUCGUAGUAAAUGCUCUUAUUCCAGUGAUUUUAUCCGAGAUCCAUCGGUCUCAUGCAUGUGCCGGGGAUGGAAGGAUGUUUAAGAUGAGAAAGAGAGAAGAAUCACUGAACAUUGUCUGGCGUCUUUACUAAAAGCAAUAUAUUAACAUAUACCCCGUGUUUCCAUUUUCAAGGAAAUUUCAAGAAUAGUAUUUCAGUGUGUGAAUGUGCGAUAAAGAAAAUCCAGUUUCAAGGAGUUUUUAAUGUAUGAUCAAGGGAACCAAAGACUUUCGGGGCCAAAUAUACUGACUUAAUAAUAACCAGCCCAAAACUUUCUGCAACCAAAUUAAAAUUCCUUUCUUGGAACGACGUCCCCACGAUUAUUUCCAGGUCUGUAAUGAAGGUUGUGUUAACGCCCGCUUACACGCGACUGCAAUGUUUGCUGCGAUUUCUCAGUGCGAAUUUCUUCUUCUGAUCAUAGUUACUGAACGAGUAGUCAGUAGAUGAGUCGUGACUGUUCCGAGUAUGUGAAACCUCGUCUGAACAUUCAUAACUCCUCCACACCCAAAAUGGUAGCACAAGUCAAGUAGUGUAAAUCAUUUUUUUUUUUUGCUAGAGUUUUUCUUACUAUAUAUGCAUGGCCACAUAGGCCCAUGGUCACACGGAUCCGGGCACAGCCCAUUUUAGUGUGCAAUAUUGCACACUUUGUGCAGUAUUGAUUUAAACGAGUGCACGGUGCAGUAUUGGAGAUUUGAAAUUUUCAGUUUUAACUUGGUAUAUAGUACAAGACAGUGCUAUAACGUAACGUUUAGUUGCACAAGAAGAUGAGUAUCCCCCCCCCCCCCUGAGGAAGGUUUACCAUAUGUGAGGUCCAAUGUGGAACACAAUUUCUAGGGACCACAUUUUUGUAGCAAUCGUAAAAUAUACAUCUGCUAUAGACAGUCUGUACAGUCUAUGUGUAUGUAAGCACAAGGCAAUUAACCAGCUGAUCAAUGCUAAAUGCGAGUCGAUAAUAGGAAUAAGAAGCCGAUUUUGAAUGACACUGAUAAAUCGUAUAUUUUGCAAAUUGAAAAAUGGCUAAUUCAGAUUUUUUGAGUAAGGUAUUAAAUCCUGAAAAUUUAACUGGAGGAAGAUUGAACACUUUUUGCAACUCUAUUAAGUUAUUAACGUUGAACAAUAUGGCUUACGCCGGUUACGUUAGGCUUAAUUUAAUGAUAAGGAACAGGAAAAGUCAAAAGGAAAAUUUUGAACAAUUCUUACUGACAAGGAACCCGUGAAAAACAAUAGUAUAGUCAUUUUUCAAAUGUGUAUAAAUAUUCUAAAAUAGAGAAUAGACAGUUCAUAAAUUGGGAUCUGCUACCUAUAUAAUUUGUAUAAAAUCUUCCCAAAAUAGAGGAAAUGGCAUUUCAGAGACUUCAAAAUUUCCCAAAGGAGGAUGCCUGCAUGCACCUGCGUAAAAUGUUUAACUGAUGUGGUUACUGUUUCUUCACCACCGAUGAAAAUGAGCACUUCCAAAUUUCAUCAAAUUGCAUACCCAUUCUCUGAAGUGUGUACCAUUGAAAAAUUCUUAGAAUACCUCCUGGAUCCGGCUCAGUUGAAAACAGUUCAAGACGAAAUCAUAUUCAGACAACUGCAGGAAAUUAAUUAUAUAUUCAGUUGCGCGCAGAGGUGGAGUGGUGGACACUUUGCGACUAUUAAAUUUAUUGCGCAAUUUGUAUUUUAGUAUAAUGCAGUAAAGGUGUAAUUGGUCACAGCAACACUGAGUGAAGUGUUUGUUCGAAAAACAAUUUGAGGACUAGCUAUGUGGUGUCAGUAUUGAUCGUGUCUGAAUUUGUUUACUUUAACGCUCUAACGAAUGAGAGUGCGGGCAUACAAAUCUUGCUUAAAGAGUUUAUCGCUUUUCUGACGUACUUUUCGAGUCUGAAUUAGGUAGGACUUACGGUUUAGCUAGUAUGAUUACUGGAUUUAAAAAAAAAGUUUUCUACGUCAAAGGUGGAUUAUAUUAAUAAUAAUGCACUUUAUUUUCUUGCAUGGGUGGCUGGAUUUACACAAAGUAAUUUUCGUCCGCGCCCAACAAUUUAAAACAACAUUAGUCAUUGGAUAAAUUAGUUACUAUUGUUCUAGUUUACAGAAGCAUAGCCAUAGAGUAGAACAAAGGUUAUGUAUAAGAGUUAUUCACUCACGUAGAUAAUUCUAAAGCUUAGUUACUUUGAUCUAUUCUAUACUUCUGUAUACUAGAACGACAAUGAUUAUUAUAUGUACGUGCGUUAUCUAAAGUUGUGUAUUGGGUUGAAUACAUUUGUCUAUGACUAUUUUACAUGACAUAUUCUUGCUAUUGAAUACCGCCCACUACCCUGAAACACCCCUACCCCAAGAUUGGGCCGCUGUGUAUUGGUCAAUCCAGCUUAGCCAGCGCUAACCCCCCUUCUUUCAGGGCUGUUGCCAGGAUAUUGCCUUGGGGGGGGGAGGUUAGAUUUACCAGAAUUUUUCCAACUUAACGUUUUUACCUGAUUUUGUGGCGCCUGCGAGGCGCAACCAUGGUUG
rnacentral:lncRNA from 1 species